rnacentral:rRNA from 1 species
AUUGAACGCUGGCGGCAGGCCUAACACAUGCAAGUCGAGCGGCAGCACGGGUACUUGUACCUGGUGGCGAGCGGCGGACGGGUGAGUAAUGCCUAGGAAUCUGCCUGGUAGUGGGGGAUAACGCUCGGAAACGGACGCUAAUACCGCAUACGUCCUACGGGAGAAAGCAGGGGGACCUUCGGGCCUUGCGCUAUCAGAUGAGCCUAGGUCGGAUUAGCUAGUUGGUGAGGUAAUGGCUCACCAAGGCGACGAUCCGUAACUGGUCUGAGAGGAUGAUCAGUCACACUGGAACUGAGACACGGUCCAGACUCCUACGGAGGCAGCAGUGGGGAAUAUUGGACAAUGGGCGAAAGCCUGAUCCAGCCAUGCCGCGUGUGUGAAGAAGGUCUUCGGAUUGUAAAGCACUUUAAGUUGGGAGGAAGGGCAGUUACCUAAUACGUAUCUGUUUUGACGUUACCGACAGAAUAAGCACCGGCUAACUCUGUGCCAGCA